UUUUGGAGGAAUUUUGGGGGUUUUUGGAAGGAUUUUGGGGGAUUUGGGGGUUUUAGGGGAGAUUUUGGGGAGAUUUGGGGGAUUUUGAGGGGAUUUUGGAGGUUUUUGGGGAAUUUUGGGGAUUUUUUGGGAUUUUGGGGGGGAUUUGGGGAUUUUGAAGGGGAUUUUUGCGGGAAUUUUGGAUUUUUGGGGGGAAUUUGGGGAAUUUUGGGGGGAUUUUGGGGGGGGAGAGAAAAUUUGGGGAUUUUGGGGAAUUUUGGAGGAAUUUUGGGGUUUUUUAGGGGAUUUUUCCGGGAUUUUUCAGGGGAUUUUGGGGGGAUUUGGGGGAUUUUGGGGGGAAUUUUGGUUUUUUGGGGAAUUUUGGGAUUUUUUUGGGAAUUUUGGGAUUUUUUAGGGAUUUUUUUUGGUUUUUCUGAGAAUUUUGGAAUUUUCUGGGAUUUUUCUGGGAAUUUUUUGAUUUUUCGGGGAAUUUUGGGAUUUUUUGGGGCAGAUUUUUGGCAUUUCCCCCUCCCCCACCCCGGGGGGGCCGCUCAGGGUGGGGGAGGGGCCGCGGCCCCGCCCCUCCCCCGCCCCCGCCCCUCCCCCGCCCCUCCCCCCCCUCCUCCAGCCCAGCCCGGGACGGACCCGCGGCUCCCAGUUCCGACCAGUUCGGACCAGUUCGGACCAGUUUGGACCAGUUCAGACCAGUUUGGACCCCCCCAGGACCGGCCAGGAGCCCCCCGGACCCUCCCAGUUCAGACCAGUUUGGACCAGUUUGGACCAGUGACCUCCGAGGACCCUCCCAGUUUGGACCAGUUCAUCCCAGUUCAGACCAGUUUGGACCAGUUCAUCCCAGUUUGGACCAGUUCGGACCAGUUUGGACCAGUUUGGACCAGUUUGGACCAGUUUGGACCCCCCAGCACUGGCAAGGAACCCCCCGGACCCUCCCAGUUCAUCCCAGUUUGUCCCAGUCCCUCCCAGUCCCCUCCCAGUCCCCUCCCAGUACAAACCAGUAACCCCAAACCCCCUUUUUACCUCUCCCAGUCCCUCCCAGUCCCUCCCAGUUUAUCCCAGUUCCCUCCCAGUCCAUCCCAGUCCCCUCCAAUCCCCUCCCAGUCCCUCCCAGUAUAA
rnacentral:lncRNA from 1 species